rnacentral:rRNA from 1 species
UACGUAGGGUGCAAGCGUUGUCCGGAAUUAUUGGGCGUAAAGAGCUCGUAGGCGGUCUGUCGCGUCUGCUGUGAAAACUCAGGGCUUAACCCUGAGCUUGCAGUGGGUACGGGCAAACUAGAGUGCGGUAGGGGAGACUGGAAUUCCUGGUGUAGCGGUGAAAUGCGCAGAUAUCUGGAGGAACACCGGUGGCGAAGGCGGCAUCCUGGACCAACACUGACACUGAGGAGCGAAAGCCAGGGGAGCAAACGGG